rnacentral:rRNA from 1 species
AGAGUUUGAUCAUGGCUCAGAUUGAACGCUGGCGGCAGGCCUAACACAUGCAAGUCGAGCGGUAGCACAGAGAGCUUGCUCUCGGGUGACGAGCGGCGGACGGGUGAGUAAUGUCUGGGAAACUGCCUGAUGGAGGGGGAUAACUACUGGAAACGGUAGCUAAUACCGCAUAACGUCGCAAGACCAAAGUGGGGGACCUUCGGGCCUCAUGCCAUCAGAUGUGCCCAGAUGGGAUUAGCUAGUAGGUGGGGUAACGGCUCACCUAGGCGACGAUCCCUAGCUGGUCUGAGAGGAUGACCAGCCACACUGGAACUGAGACACGGUCCAGACUCCUACGGGAGGCAGCAGUGGGGAAUAUUGCACAAUGGGCGCAAGCCUGAUGCAGCCAUGCCGCGUGUGUGAAGAAGGCCUUCGGGUUGUAAAGCACUUUCAGCGGGGAGGAAGGCGGUAAGGUUAAUAACCUUGUCGAUUGACGUUACCCGCAGAAGAAGCACCGGCUAACUCCGUGCCAGCAGCCGCGGUAAUACGGAGGGUGCAAGCGUUAAUCGGAAUUACUGGGCGUAAAGCGCACGCAGGCGGUCUGUCAAGUCGGAUGUGAAAUCCCCGGGCUCAACCUGGGAACUGCAUUCGAAACUGGCAGGCUAGAGUCUUGUAGAGGGGGGUAGAAUUCCAGGUGUAGCGGUGAAAUGCGUAGAGAUCUGGAGGAAUACCGGUGGCGAAGGCGGCCCCCUGGACAAAGACUGACGCUCAGGUGCGAAAGCGUGGGGAGCAAACAGGAUUAGAUACCCUGGUAGUCCACGCCGUAAACGAUGUCGAUUUGGAGGUUGUGCCCUUGAGGCGUGGCUUCCGGAGCUAACGCGUUAAAUCGACCGCCUGGGGAGUACGGCCGCAAGGUUAAAACUCAAAUGAAUUGACGGGGGCCCGCACAAGCGGUGGAGCAUGUGGUUUAAUUCGAUGCAACGCGAAGAACCUUACCUGGUCUUGACAUCCACAGAACUUUCCAGAGAUGGAUUGGUGCCUUCGGGAACUGUGAGACAGGUGCUGCAUGGCUGUCGUCAGCUCGUGUUGUGAAAUGUUGGGUUAAGUCCCGCAACGAGCGCAACCCUUAUCCUUUGUUGCCAGCGGUCCGGCCGGGAACUCAAAGGAGACUGCCAGUGAUAAACUGGAGGAAGGUGGGGAUGACGUCAAGUCAUCAUGGCCCUUACGACCAGGGCUACACACGUGCUACAAUGGCAUAUACAAAGAGAAGCGACCUCGCGAGAGCAAGCGGACCUCAUAAAGUAUGUCGUAGUCCGGAUUGGAGUCUGCAACUCGACUCCAUGAAGUCGGAAUCGCUAGUAAUCGUAGAUCAGAAUGCUACGGUGAAUACGUUCCCGGGCCUUGUACACACCGCCCGUCACACCAUGGGAGUGGGUUGCAAAAGAAGUAGGUAGCUUAACCUUCGGGAGGGCGCUUACCACUUUGUGAUUCAUGACUGGGGUGAAGUCGUAACAAGGUAACCGUAGGGGAACCUGCGGUUG